GUCGAACGCUGGCGGCGUGCCUAAUACAUGCAAGUCGAACGCAGUGGGGACGGGUGAGUAACCCGUGGGUAACCUCCCAUCAGAGGGGAUAACACUUGGAAACAGGUGCUAAACCGAUACUGAUGGAUGGACCCGCGGUGCAUUAGCUAGUUGGUGAGGUAACGGCUCACCAAGGCCACGAUCCAUAGCCGGCCUGAGAGGAUGAUAGGCCACACUGGGACUGAGACACGGCCCAGACUCCUACGGGAGGCAGCAGUGGGGAAUCUUCUGCAAUGGGCGAAAGUCUGACCCAGCAACGCCGCGUGUGUGAAGAAGGUUUUCGGAUCGUAAAGCUCUGUUGUUAGAGAGGCGGUAUCUAACCAAGAAGCCACGGCUAACUACGUGCCAGCAGCCGCGGUAAUUC
rnacentral:rRNA from 1 species